rnacentral:rRNA from 1 species
GAUGAACGCUGGCGGCGUGCCUAAUACAUGCAAGUCGAGCGAACAGAUAAGGAGCUUGCUCCUUUGACGUUGGCGGCGGACGGGUGAGUAACACGUGGGUAACCUACCUAUAAGACUGGAAUAACUCCGGGAAACCGGGGCUAAUGCCGGAUAACAUUUAGAACCGCAUGGUUCUAAAGUGAAAGAUGGUUUUGCUAUCACUUAUAGAUGGACCCGCGCCGUAUUAGCUAGUUGGUAAGGUAACGGCUUACCAAGGCAACGAUACGUAGCCGACCUGAGAGGGUGAUCGGCCACACUGGAACUGAGACACGGUCCAGACUCCUACGGGAGGCAGCAGUAGGGAAUCUUCCGCAAUGGGCGAAAGCCUGACGGAGCAACGCCGCGUGAGUGAUGAAGGUCUUCGGAUCGUAAAACUCUGUUAUUAGGGAAGAACAAAUGUGUAAGUAACUGUGCACGUCUUGACGGUACCUAAUCAGAAAGCCACGGCUAACUACGUG